UACAGGAAGCAGCUUGCUGCUUCGCUGACGAGUGGCGGACGGGUGAGUAAUGUCUGGGAAACUGCCUGAUGGAGGGGGAUAACUACUGGAAACGGUAGCUAAUACCGCAUAACGUCGCAAGACCAAAGAGGGGGACCUUCGGGCCUCUUGCCAUCGGAUGUGCCCAGAUGGGAUUAGCUAGUAGGUGGGGUAACGGCUCACCUAGGCGACGAUCCCUAGCUGGUCUGAGAGGAUGACCAGCCACACUGGAACUGAGACACGGUCCAGACUCCUACGGGAGGCAGCAGUGGGGAAUAUUGCACAAUGGGCGCAAGCCUGAUGCAGCCAUGCCGCGUGUAUGAAGAAGGCCUUCGGGUUGUAAAGUACUUUCAGCGGGGAGGAAGGGAGUAAAGUUAAUACCUUUGCUCAUUGACGUUACCCGCAGAAGAAGCACCGGCUAACUCCGUGCCAGCAGCCGCGGUAAUACGGAGGGUGCAAGCGUUAAUCGGAAUUACUGGGCGUAAAGCGCACGCAGGCGGUUUGUUAAGUCAGAUGUGAAAUCCCCGGGCUCAACCUGGGAACUGCAUCUGAUACUGGCAAGCUUGAGUCUCGUAGAGGGGGGUAGAAUUCCAUGUGUAGCG
rnacentral:rRNA from 1 species